rnacentral:rRNA from 1 species
UACGGGGGGAGCAAGCGUUGUCCGGAAUCAUUGGGCGUAAAGCGCGCGUAGGUGGCUUCGUAAGUCCGUUGUGAAAGUCAAAGGCUCAACCUUUGAAAGCCGAUGGAUACUGCGGAGCUAGAGUACGGAAGAGGCGAGUGGAAUUCCUGGUGUAGCGGUGGAAUGCGCAGAUAUCAGGAGGAACACCAAUAGCGAAGGCAGCUCGCUGGGACGUUACUGACACUGAGGCGCGAAAGCGUGGGGAGCGAACAGG